GCGCUUUCUUUAGUAGCACAGAUACUAAAAUUGCAAUAAUAUAGAGAAAGUCAGCAUGGCACCUGGGUAAGGAUGAUGGGAAAAUUCAUGAAGCAUUCCGUAUUUUG